CCUACGGGAGGCAGCAGUGGGGAAUUUUGGACAAUGGGCGGAAGCCUGAUCCAGCAAUGCCGCGUGUGUGAAGAAGGCCUUCGGGUUGUAAAGCACUUUUGUCCGGAAAGAAAUCGCACUUACUAAUAUUAGGUGUGGAUGACGGUACCGGAAGAAUAAGGACCGGCUAACUACGUGCCAGCAGCCGCGGUAAU
rnacentral:rRNA from 1 species